GGUGGCGUGGUGCUCUUCCCUGGGUUGGCGGGCAGAACCCACUAACUCUGUGCCUGACCCAGCUCAGGUGGAAGGGCUGGGCCUCCUCCUGCAGGCCCCUGAGGCCCCAAACACUGUCUCUACCCCAGAAGGCUGCGCAUCUGGGCGGCAGGGGAGGUGCGCGGGCCACUGCGUGGAUCCCCGGCCCCUCCCCGCAAAGAAACUCCGCCAGCCCCGUGCCCACAUCUCACCCGCCUCAGCACAAUUCUGCUUGACUCACAGCUCCCGUUUCUACUAGAGAGCAGCUCUUUGACAAUCUGAGUAUUUGUUCAGUCGCCCCAAAUGUGCUCUGGGAGCAGGACACCUGAUCGGAGAGGUUGGUCACCUGGAUCGUGGUCCACUCUUAGCUCAGACCUCCUGUGAAUGCCUCUCAGUAGCCACGUCUAACAAAAGAAAGGAGCCUUGGAAAUGUAGUUUCAAGACUUUCAGCCCUGUGUUACUGGGAAGCUGCCGACAAGGAAGGAGUUCAAUAGAGACAGCUUAAAGUCUUCUCUCUGAGAUCAGCUGGUCUCUGGAUACAGGCUUUAAAAUUAUCAUCUAAGGAAUAUGAGACCUGCACCUUCCUUUCCCAUUGUGGGUGUGCUACAAUUUGAAGGAAGCCAAUCACUUAUCCAUCUAAUUUAUGGAAGAUCUUGAUGUGAAGGGCUCUUUGUAGAUCCCAUCAGAGCUACCCAGCCAUUCUGACACAUGUGAGUUGACAUCUCAUUGUGCUUUCGACCUGCAUUUCCCUGAUGAUUAGCUAUGUUGAACAUCUUUUCACAUAUGCCUGUUGGCCAUCUGCGUAUUGCAACCUGCAUCCGCCCUCCUUCGGCAGGAAUUCCUGUCCUAAUUUCCUCAUCUGUAAAAUGAAGAGGUUAAAUGCAAUGAUCUCUAAAGUGCCUUGAAGACCUCACUUACAAUCAUUCCUUUGAUGCUGCCUUUGACUGGCCCUGGUGAGCAACCCUCAGCUGCGUUCCUGGCUCCUUGACACAGCAGUUCACCCGAAAAGAUUGGUGUGUUCUUCCAAGUAGUGCUUGCCCUGAGCCUAACCACCAGAAAGCUACUGUUUCUCUGAUUAUUUCAUCACACAGAGGAGCUGCUCCAAGCCUUGGCAGGGUUAUUGAGAAUAUGCAGAUAUGCUUGUAAAUGAGCACAGAUAUAAAGGACAAACUCUGAAAUGGAUAUGCUGGAGAGGCUGGGUUCUAAGGAGCUAGACAUUCACGUGUCCCACCAGACUGUAGAGACUCAUGGGUGUGGUGAUCAAAUCAAGAAGAAACUUACUAAAGGACUUAUCCCUAAAGAAUGUCACAUCAGGAUUCCAGGGAGACUUAUGGAUAUGAUGUUCAUAGAUUUUUUUCUAUUUAUGCUGUUUCCUCGAGCAUAACAAGGAUCUGCCGGAUUUCAUUUCCUUUAAUGAUCCUCUGAAUGGGGGAAAUGUUCCCAUGUUGUGUCGCAUGUCUGAUGCUGCCUGACUUCAGAAGCUGAAACCAUCUAGCCUGAUGCUGACAUAAAAAAGGGUCACUCUCCACAAUUUUGCAGGCUGGUGGCAAGACACCAUCCAAAAAAAAAAAAAAAAAAAAA
ensembl:lncRNA